rnacentral:lncRNA from 1 species
CCUGCCUCAGCCUCCCAAAGUGUUGGGAUUACAGGCGUGAGCCACCGCGACUGGCCUCCUCUCUGCCUUUGACCUGAGAGUAAACCAAAUCGCCUCCAGAUCCGUGUGUUCAGUGCCAGACCUGACCCUUUUAACUGGCUCUUUUUUUUUUGGAAACAGGGUCUCACUCUGUCGCCCAGGCUGGAGCGCAGUGGCACAAUCAUAGCUCACUGCAGCCUCCACCUUCCGGCCUCAAGCACUCCUCCUGCCUCAUCCUCUUGACUAUCUGGGACAACAGGUACGCGCCACCACGCCUGGCUAAUUUUUAAUUUUUUUGCAGAGACGGAGGGAGGGUCUCACUUUAUGGCCCAGGCUUGUGACUAGCUCUUGAUGGAAGGAGGUGGCUUCUAGCUGGGCUGUGCCACCCCAGGCUGUGGAGUUCCAGGUGAACCUGGUCCUGACAGGAGUCAGGGCCUUGGGUCUCAGGUAAGGUUGUGGCGUGGACUUGCUGAAUCCUAUCACUGUCCCUGUUGAGCAGCCAUACUGGGCCGUGUGGCCCACGGUGGUCUAUGGUUCAGAUGGGUGGUCCUGAGAGCAGGGUCUACACAGCAUCUGACUCACUAUGUGGCCUGGGCAAGUCCCUGGGCAUCUCUGUGCCUCAGCUUCCCAGCUGUACAAUGAGGUGGGGUAAGAUUAGAUCAGUAUUUUUUCUUUCUUCUUCUUUUUUAUUUCUUAGGAGACGGGGUCUCGGCCAGGCACAGUAGCUCACGCCUGUAAUCCCAGCACUUUGGGAUGCUGGGGUGGGAAGAUCACUUGAGGUCAGGUGUUUGAGACCAGCCCGGCCAACAUGGUGAAACCUCACUUCUACUAAAAAUACAAAAAAUUAGCUGGGUGUGGUGGUGCAUGCCUGAAGUCCCAGCUACUCGGGAGGCUAAGGCAUGAGAAUUGCUUGAACUCAGGAGGCGGAGGUUGCAGUGAGCCAAGAUCGCAAGAUUGACUCCAGCCUGAGUGACAGAGUGAGACUCUGUCUUGAAAGAAAAAAAAAAAAAAAAAAGGCCGGUAGCAGUGGCUUACGCCUGUAAUCCCAGCACUUUGGGGGGCCGAGGCAGGUAGAUCAUGAGGUCAGGAGUUCGAGACCAGCCUGGCCAAUAUGGAGAAACCCCGUCUCUACUAAAAAUACAAAAAAAUAGCUGGGCGUGGUGGCAGGCGCCUGUAAUCCCAGCUACUUGGGAAACUGAGGCAGGAGAAUCACUUGAACCCGGGAGUCGGAGGUUGCAGUGAGCCGAGAUCACACCACUGCACUCCAGCCUGGGCGACAGAGUGAGACGCUGUCUCGGAAAAAAAAAAAAGAGAUGGGGUCUCAUUCUGUCAUCCAGGCAGGAUGGCAUAAUCAUAGCUCACUGCAGCCUUAAACUCUUGGGCUCAAGUGAUCCUCCAGCCUCAGCCUCCUGGGACUACAAGUGCCUACUACCAUGCCUGGCUAAUUUUUAGAAAAACCUUUUUGGUCCACAGCCAUACCACCCUGAAUGCACCCGAUCUUGCCUGAUCUCAGAACUGAAGCAGGGUCGGGC